CAUCUGAUAAUUACCAAUAAAAAGAGCUGUAGAAAUAAUGUUUUAAACCAGUGUUUUAAUCUGUUAGGUAACAUCAGCUGUAGCAUUUAACUUGCCUACUCUUUUUCUUCAGAAGGAUGAUUGUAAGCUUUUGUUCUGUAAAGAUCUGCCUGUCCUACCCUGAGAAUGGAGAUACUGUGUGCGUGACUUAUUGAAACUGCGGCUGCAAAGCUCUUCUAGUAGCUGCCCCUGUUCUGUGCUUCUGCAGAUGCUUUGUGCCUUUGGUGGCUGGCUUAUCUUUGAAGCACUAUUGAUUACCUCAUGAGGAGGAGGCUGUAUAUUCUUCCCCUUCUGCCAACACAAGGGAUGUAAGGAGAGGGACAGGCUGCAGCAGCAUACUGCAGAGUAAUAGCUGAG